rnacentral:misc_RNA from 1 species
GAUGAAGAACGCAGCGAAAUGCGAUAAGUAAUGUGAAUUGCAGAAUUCAGUGAAUCAUCGAAUCUUUGAACGCACAUUGCGCCCGCCAGUAGUCUGGCGGGCAUGUCUGUUCGAGCGUCAUUUCAACCAUCAAGCCCCCGGCUUGUGUUGGGGACCUGCGGCUGCCGCAGGCCCUGAAAACCAGUGGCGGGCUCGCUAGUCACUCCGAGCGUAGUAAUACAUCUCGCUCAGGGCGUGCUGCGGGUUCCGGCCGUUAAAAAGCCUUAUUUACCCAAGGUUGACCUCGGAUCAGGUAGGAAGACCCGCUGAACUUAAGCAUAUCAAUAAGCGGAGGA